rnacentral:rRNA from 1 species
UACGAAGGGGGCUAGCGUUGUUCGGAAUUACUGGGCGUAAAGCGCAUGUAGGCGGAUAUUUAAGUCAGGGGUGAAAUCCCGCAGCUCAACUGCGGAACUGCCUUUGAUACUGGGUAUCUUGAGUAUGGAAGAGGUGAGUGGAAUUCCGAGUGUAGAGGUGAAAUUCGUAGAUAUUCGGAGGAACACCAGUGGCGAAGGCGGCUCACUGGUCCAUUAGUGACGCUGAGGUGCGAAAGCGUGGGGAGCAAACAGG